rnacentral:miRNA from 1 species
AGCUGCUUGUUGGCUGGGGAG